CGGAGCGCCAACCCGGGCCGUGGCGCCUUCUUUUCCGCUUCGCCGCGGGCGGAGGAAGAGCUUUCAGGGUCUGUUGGCCGUACGGGCGUGGCGGCAACGCCCGCGGGCACGUCGCCCAGCUCUUCGACGGGAGAAGGCCCCGCGGAGUUAGGUCAUUUUCUUAUUUCUCCCGGGAACCCGACUCCGUGCCCGGGUCUACAGGUCGGCCUCAGGCCCCUCCGGCUUGUGCGUCCCGCCCCCGGGAUCCCCAUCCCGGUGGCUUCGGUCCAUUGCCGGGCACAGUCCAGCGGUCGGCGCGGCCGCGGCCUCCGAGUCAUCCCAGGAGGCCACCUUCCCCUCCCCAACCCGGUUGACGCCGCCUCGAGCUCUCCUCCGUGCCUUCUGCUCAAUCACAUUUUUCCUUAAGGAUAAUAAAGCCUUCCCAGGUGGCGCAGUGGUAAAGAAUCCCUGGGUUGGGAAGAUCCCCUGGAGUAAAAUAUGGCAACCCACUGCAGUAUUCUUCCCUGGAAAAUUCUAUGGACCGAGGAGCCAGGCGGCUUACAGUACGUGGGGUCGUAAACAGUUGAAUAUGACCGAGCAACUAACACACAGAAGCAUAAUAAAUACACAAGAGCCCGGUGCAGCAGAGCCUAUGAGUUGAAGAUGAAGAUCAUUGUGAUAAAUGUUUUCCAAAAACCUGUCAAAGAGGAUGGCUGUGAAAACACUAGGAGGACCGCUGUGCAUGUAACAAGCAGAUGAGUACGUGCAGAUGAAUGUUCAAGUCCUUAGCAGUGGUGCUUAAAAACUCUUCAUUACCUCAAAGGUGUGGCACACAACGUUUUCGAAGGAAAAAUGAAGAGUUGUUCAAGAAGACGUGCAUUAAAGCAAGUGAUAAAAAUUAAAAUUGUAUUUUAAUGUUCAUCUCACAAUAAAUUAUGGAGAAAAAUACAUCUUCAAAUUA